CUUCUGAAAAUGAAGCACAGUGCCCUCCUCUCACUUCCAGCCCUGGUGCCCACAGCUCCUCAAGACACUCAGAACGCUUGAAGCAGUGUCAGCCAAUGGAAUGAGCAGCCAGAAAGUAAGCAGACUCAUUGAAGGAUAGCCUGCUCCUGGAAAUUCACAGGAAGGACUUUCUUCUCCUUGAAGUAACCAAUCUCUUUGGUGCCACGAACCCACCUACCCCCCAACAAGAGAGGAACCCCAGCUUCAUCCUGCUGAGCCAUGACCUCUGUGCCCAUUCUCGCCCUUGUGAUGCUCUUCAUACCUGGAAGAGCAGAAGCACAGUCAGUGACUCAGCCUGAAAAUCAGGUCUCUGUCUCUGAAGGGUUUCCAGUAGAGUUGAAAUGCACUUAUUCCUCUUCUGGGGCUGCUUAUCUCUAUUGGUAUGUCCAGUAUCCCAACCAAGAGCUUCAAGUCCUCCUGAGACAUACUUCACAGGAAAGCAACAAAGGUUUUCAGGCCAACCUCAACAAGGAUGAAACCUCCUACCAUCUGAAGAAGCUCCAUGUCCAAGAGGAAGAUGCAGCUGUGUACUUCUGUGCUCUGAGUGACACAGUGAGAGGGCUCACAAGGGGAGCUGAGCACAAACCUCCUGAGACAGUCUUUGAAAUGUUCCUCAAAGGGAUUUUUUUUUCUUUUCUUGUCAGAAUCCUUCAGACUGGGCAGUGCUGUUCUCAAGGAAGAAUAAAGAUUCAUAGUAUCAUAAGAUUUAGAGCUAGAAGGGACUUUGGAGAUUGUCUAGGCCAGGGGUCAGCAAACUUUUGUCUGCAAAUGAUCAGAUAGUAAAUAUUUUAGGCUUUGCCAGCCGAGAGGCAAAACAGAGGAUUUUAUGUAGGUACUUACAUAUCAAGAGAGAAAUCACAUUUCCCUAAAAUUUUAUA